rnacentral:rRNA from 1 species
UACAGAGGGUGCAAGCGUUAAUCGGAAUUACUGGGCGUAAAGCGUGCGUAGACGGUUAUUUAAGUCAGGUGUGAAAGCCCAGGGCUCAACCUUGGAAUUGCAUUUGAGACUGAAUAGCUAGGGUGCGGAAGAGGGAAGCGGAAUUUCCGGUGUAGCGGUGAAAUGCGUAGAUAUCGGAAGGAACACCAGUGGCGAAAGCGGCUUCCUGGUCCAGCACCGACGUCAGGCACGAAAGCGUGGGGAGCAAAAGGG